rnacentral:rRNA from 1 species
UACAGAGGGUGCGAGCGUUAAUCGGAAUUACUGGGCGUAAAGGGUGCGUAGGUGGCGGGGUAAGUCAGGUGUGAAAUCUCGGAGCUCAACUCCGAAACUGCACUUGAUACUGCCUUGCUGGAGUACUGGAGAGGAGAUUGGAAUUUACGGUGUAGCAGUGAAAUGCGUAGAUAUCGUAAGGAAGACCAGUGGCGAAGGCGAAUCUCUGGACAGUUACUGACACUGAGGCACGAAGGCCAGGGGAGCAAACGGG